rnacentral:rRNA from 1 species
CAGGGUAUAGACCCGAAACCCGGUGAUCUAGCCAUGGGCAGGUUGAAGGUUGGGUAACACUAACUGGAGGACCGAACCGACUAAUGUUGAAAAAUUAGCGGAUGACUUGUGGCUGGGGGUGAAAGGCCAAUCAAACCGGGAGAUAGCUGGUUCUCCCCGAAAGCUAUUUAGGUAGCGCCUCGUGAAUUCAUCUCCGGGGGUAGAGCACUGUUUCGGCAAGGGGGUCAUCCCGACUUACCAACCCGAUGCAAACUGCGAAUACCGGAGAAUGUUAUCACGGGAGACACACGGCGGGUGCUAACGUCCGUCGUGAAGAGGGAAACAACCCAGACCGCCAGCUAAGGUCCCAAAGUCAUGGUUAAGUGGGAAACGAUGUGGGAAGGCCCAGACAGCCAGGAUGUUGGCUUAGAAGCAGCCAUCAUUUAAAGAAAGCGUAAUAGCUCACUGGUCGAGUCGGCCUGCGCGGAAGAUGUAACGGGGCUAAACCAUGCACCGAAGCUGCGGCAGCGACGCUUAUGCGUUGUUGGGUAGGGGAGCGUUCUGUAAGCCUGUGAAGGUGUGCUGUGAGGCAUGCUGGAGGUAUCAGAAGUGCGAAUGCUGACAUAAGUAACGAUAAAGCGGGUGAAAAGCCCGCUCGCCGGAAGACCAAGGGUUCCUGUCCAACGUUAAUCGGGGCAGGGUGAGUCGACCCCUAAGGCGAGGCCGAAAGGCGUAGUCGAUGGGAAACAGGUUAAUAUUCCUGUACUUGGUGUUACUGCGAAGGGGGGACGGAGAAGGCUAUGUUGGCCGGGCGACGGUUGUCCCGGUUUAAGCGUGUAGGCUGGUUUUCCAGGCAAAUCCGGAAAAUCAAGGCUGAGGCGUGAUGACGAGGCACUACGGUGCUGAAGCAACAAAUGCCCUGCUUCCAGGAAAAGCCUCUAAGCAUCAGGUAACAUCAAAUC